GAAUAUUGGACAAUGGGCGCAAGCCUGAUCCAGCCAUGCCGCGUGGGUGAAGAAGGCCUUCGGGUUGUAAAGCCCUUUUGUUGGGGAAGAAAUCGUGCAGGUGAAUAUCCUGCGCGGAUGACGGUACCCAAAGAAUAAGCACCGGCUAACUUCGUGCCAGCAGCCGCGGUAAUACGAAGGGUGCAAGCGUUACUCGGAAUUACUGGGCGUAAAGCGUGCGUAGGCGGUUCGUUAAGUCCGUUGUGAAAGCCCUGGGCUCAACCUGGGAAUUGCAGGGGAUACUGGCGAGCUAGAGUACGGUAGAGGAUGGUGGAAUUCCCGGUGUAGCGGUAAAAUGCGUAGAGAUCGAGAGGAACACCCGUGUCGAAGGCGGCCAUCUGGACCAGUACUGACGCU
rnacentral:rRNA from 1 species